rnacentral:rRNA from 1 species
UACGUAGGGGGCAAGCGUUGUCCGGAAUUAUUGGGCGUAAAGAGCGUGUAGGCGGUCCGGUAAGUCGGCUGUGAAAGUCCAGGGCUCAACCCUGGGAUGCCGGUCGAUACUGCCGGACUAGAGUUCGGAAGAGGCGAGUGGAAUUCCCGGUGUAGCGGUGAAAUGCGCAGAUAUCGGGAGGAACACCUAUGGCGAAGGCAGCUCGCUGGGACGUUACUGACGCUGAGACGCGAAAGCGUGGGGAGCGAACCGG